rnacentral:rRNA from 1 species
CGCCCAGGAACUACGAGCGCUAGCUUAAAACCUAAGGACUUGGCGGUAUCUCAAACCCCCUAGAGGAGCCUGUCCUAGCACCGAUAACCCCCGUUUAACCUCACCACUACUUGCCAUCCCCGCCUAUAUACCGCCGUCGACAGCUUUCCCCCCAGAGCCCAACAGCAAGCAAAACAGAUUACUUAAGCCUAACACGUCAGGUCGAGGUGUAGCGCACUGCAGUGGGAAGAGAUGGGCUACACUCCCUAGCAUAGGGACCACGAAGAGGGCCCUGAAACCGAGCCCCUGAAGGAGGAUUUAGCAGUAAGAGAGGACGAGAGUGCCUCUCUGAAGAAGGACUUGAGAUGCGU